rnacentral:rRNA from 1 species
AACGAACGCUGGCGGCAUGCCUAACACAUGCAAGUCGAACGAGACCUUCGGGUCUAGUGGCGCACGGGUGCGUAACGCGUGGGAACCUGCCUUUAGGUUCGGAAUAACUCAGAGAAAUUUGAGCUAAUACCGGAUAAUGUCUUCGGACCAAAGAUUUAUCGCCUUUAGAUGGGCCCGCGUAAGAUUAGCUAGUUGGUGGGGUAAAGGCCUACCAAGGCGACGAUCUUUAGCUGGUCUGAGAGGAUGAUCAGCCACACUGGGACUGAGACACGGCCCAGACUCCUACGGGAGGCAGCAGUGGGGAAUAUUGGACAAUGGGCGAAAGCCUGAUCCAGCAAUGCCGCGUGAGUGAUGAAGGCCUUAGGGUUGUAAAGCUCUUUUGUCCGGGAAGAUAAUGACUGUACCGGAAGAAUAAGCCCCGGCUAACUUCGUGCCAGCAGCCGCGGUAAU